AGUGAACGCUGGCGGUAGGCCUAACACAUGCAAGUCGAACGGCAGCACAGUAAGAGCUUGCUCUUACGGGUGGCGAGUGGCGGACGGGUGAGGAAUACAUCGGAAUCUACUUUUUCGUGGGGGAUAACGGAGGGAAACUUACGCUAAUACCGCAUACGACCUACGGGUGAAAGCAGGAGAUCUUCGGACCUUGCGCGAUUGAAUGAGCCGAUGUCGGAUUAGCUAGUUGGCGGGGUAAAGGCCCACCAAGGCGACGAUCCGUAGCUGGUCUGAGAGGAUGAUCAGCCACACUGGAACUGAGACACGGUCCAGACUCCUACGGGAGGCAGCAGUGGGGAAUAUUGGACAAUGGGCGCAAGCCUGAUCCAGCCAUACCGCGUGAGUGAAGAAGGCCUUCGGGUUGUAAAGCCCUUUUGUUGGGAAAGAAAAGCAGCAGGUUAAUACCCCGCUGUUCUGACGGUACCCAAAGAAUAAGCACCGGCUAACUUCGUG
rnacentral:rRNA from 1 species